UUUCUCUCUUCAAAUUCUUCGGAUCCUCACAAAGUCCAUUCUCUCUCUUCUCUUCCCUCUCAUAUUUACUCACUCUCACAGACAACUAUCAUUAGUGUAGUGGAAGUCGAUGAUCAACCAGCAAGUGAUGAUUUCAAAAUGGGUGCGGUGAGGAGCAAUAAAUAAAAAGCAAACAAAAGAUUGGAUUGUUGAAAAGAAUAAAUCGGGAAUGAGAAGUGGAAUAAAUAUUUAUGUUCUUCAGG